GUUAAGUUUAAAUUUUUAAGUUUAUAAAGUUUGUAUACAGCCCUAAGUAAUUUUAUAAGUGCUUUUGGUUAAUUAGUAGUUUUCCUCGGUGAUAACUUUGAAACCUACUGCGAUUUUCAGAUGCUGUCAGGAGAAAACAUUGAGAAACAUCGGCUGAGAAUAUGAAGAACUCAAUCAAGAAGUGGCUGCAGCAAGCCACACCCAGAUUGAUGAAGAGGUCUAACAGACAGCAAGCAACACCCGCUGCUGAAGAGUGUUCUGAU